UUGAGCCGUAUGCGGUGAAAAUCGCACGUACGCUUCAAAGGGGGCCAUGGGUCAGUAAUGACCCGGGGCUACCCGAC
rnacentral:ncRNA from 1 species